AACGAACGCUGGCGGCGCGCCUAACACAUGCAAGUCGAGCGAUUAAAGCUCCUUCGGGAGUAUAUAAAGCGGCGGACGGGUGAGUAAGGCAUAGACAACCUGCCCUAAAGAGGGGGAUAGCUUGGAGAAAUUCGGGUUAAUACCGCGUAAGCUGUUUGAGUAAUAUCAACCAGUAAAGGCUUCGGCCGCUUUGGGAUGGGUCUAUGUUAGAUUAGAUAGUUGGUGGGGUAACGGCCUACCAAGUCGACGAUCUAUAACUGGUCUGAGAGGAUGAUCAGUCACACUGGAACUGAGACACGGUCCAGACUCCUACGGGAGGCAGCAGUGAGGAAUUUUGCGCAAUGGGCGAAAGCCUGACGCAGCGACGCCGCGUGGAGGACGAAGUCUUUCGAGAUGUAAACUCCUGUCAGUGGGGAUGAUAAUGACAGUACCCACAGAGGAAGCACCGGCUAACUCCGUGCCAGCAGCCGCGGUAAGACGGAGGGUGCAAGCGUUGUUCGGAUUUACUGGGCGUAAAGCGUACGUAGGCGGCGAAUUAAGUCAGUGGUGAAAUACUGCCGCUUAACGGUAGAACUGCCAUUGAUACUGGAUUUCUUGAGUAUGGUUGAGGUAGGCGGAAUGUGUCAUGUAGCGGUGAAAUGCAUAGAUAUGACUCAGAACACCGAUUGCGAAGGCAGCUCACUAAACUAUUACUGACGCUGAGGCACGAAAGCGGUGGGGAGCGAACAGGAUUAGAUACCCUGGUAGUCCACGCCGUAAACGAUGUUCACUCGCUGUCUGCGAUACACAGUAGGCGGCUAAGCGAAAGCAUUAAGUGAUCCACCUGGGGAGUACGGUCGCAAGAUUGAAACUCAAAGGAAUUGACGGGGGCCCGCACAAGCGGAGGAACAUGUGGUUUAAUUCGAUGAUACGCGAGGAACCUUACCUGGGCUUAAAUGUAGAGUGCAUAAACGGGAAACUGUUUUCCUUCGGGACUCUUUACAAGGUGCGGCAUGGUUGUCGUCAGCUCGUGCCGGGAGGUGUCGGGUUAAGUCCCAUAACGAGCGCAACCCCUAUCGUUAGUUGCCAGCGAGUCAAGUCGGGGACUCUAACGAGACUGCCGGUGUAAACCGCGAGGAAGGUGGGGAUGACGUCAAAUCAGCACGGCCCUUAUGUCCAGGGCUACACACGUGUUACAAUGGCCGAUACAAAGGGCAGCUACCAGGUGACUGGAUGCUAAUCUCGAAAGUCGGUCUUAGUUCGGAUCGAAGUCUGCAACUCGACUUCGUGAAGCUGGAUUCGCUAGUAAUCGUAGAUCAGCAAUGCUACGGUGAAUACGUUCCCGGGCCUUGUACACACCGCCCGUCAAGCCAUGGAAGCUGGGGGUACCUGAAGUCUGUCACCGCAAGGAGCGGCCUAGGGUAAAACUGGUAACUGGGGCU
rnacentral:rRNA from 1 species